rnacentral:lncRNA from 1 species
AAAUAUCUCAAGUAAGUUGUAAUCAGCAUCAAUUUGAAACAAAUCUGAAGUAGCCUAGUACUUGAUCUUAGUUUGGCUAAAUUUGGAUGCAAUGAGAUUACAAAACCUGACUAUUUUGUUACAAUAAACUCAAUGGUAUUGCAGCCACAAAUAGAACAGAACCUGACAGGAAAAGAAGCUCAUGCUGUUCAAAGCAAAGAAAAAAUGAUUGUGCCACUUGCUAAUCAGUUCAACAAAGAACAUGUAAAUAUUUCAGGAAAUUAAAAUCAAUCAGAAAAAUUAAGAAACUAACCUCAGAAAGUAAAUGCCUUCUCUAUUGC